GCCAAUUCUCUUCUGGCUAUGUCUAGAAUCAAUAGUGAAAAUUCCUCAUUAUUCUAGUUUUUUAUUUUGGAGCCCAGGAUGGAUGCACAGAUGGGCAAGAUGGUACCUGCCCUGCUGCUGAUACCCAUGAUGCAUUUCACCAGAGGGAUGUUCCUGGUGGCAUGGUGGUAUAGCACUUAUUCUGUCAAAUAAGAGCUACAUGAUACUCUGCUUAUGCUUAUUCUGAAAUCUCCCUGAUUCACUGAUGUAAAGCCAGUCAUGCGAUUUCAGUAUUAACUUUGCAGCCUUUUGUUUAAACUAAUGCCACGUAUAUACCUUUGCUCCUGGAUAGAAACACAUGCAUUGCUGCAGAGCUUCAAAGCAUCCCUCUGACAACAUAAACUCCAUGUCCUUUUAGCUUCUACUAGAGAUAUAUAGAGACAGCUUCUUCUGGGUGGCUGGAUGAAACCUGUGAAUGAAUUGAUUCCUCUGGAAUGGGAGCUUGCUGAUUACAUCAGCAUUAUCCUUUCAUCUUCUUUGACCAGAGGAAUUGUCUUUGCAGAUAUGUCUAGUCUAGCACUCUGUUUGCCUUUCCUGUCAAGUCAUUCCCUUCCAAGUAGAAAGAGCCAGAUGUAUUCUGAAGCAUUCACAGUCUAUUUCAGGACCCUGUAGUUAGCAAAGACUGUUCUUUUCUAUAUAACAGAUUGUUUAAAUCUGCUGCGGUGUUAUACAUGCAUUAUCUCCUUUAAUCUUCCUGGGAAUUUGUUAAGGUGCAAAGAGAUUCGAUGACCUGAACCAACACCUAGAAGAGUGAACCUGCUUACUCUGCCCCUGGGCUCUUACUCUGAACCACUCAGUUUCUAAUGUUUCUCUUGGAACUGCCUUCCUAUCACUAAAAUCAUAUAAUGAAUUCUUUCAAUUUGGUAGAAGAAUGAAUUCCAAGAACUUAUGAACAACUUUGUUCAAAAUGGAAACUGUACCGAAGAUAGAGCUGGAGAUCAGAAGAAUGUUCAUUUACUUCUCGUGUACAAGUUGGUCCACAGGAUUAAAGAACGUAGCAAUAUGAUGACUCUCUCUGCCUUUUUAGACAAAGCACAAUUUUACCACACAAUUGCUCAAGUGCAUGUUCUAUAGUGUGCAUCAGACUCCUCACCAAUAUCAUAUCUGCAGGGCUCUGGGUCCAUAUGAGAGCUUAUUUUCAAUAAACAGUGAAUGACUUCCAUUGUCCUUUAUGAUUCGAAACCAUGAAUCAAUGCAGAUUCCUCUAGAAACUUCUCUAAGGA
ensembl:lincRNA Gm29234 predicted gene 29234